ACAAAACUAAUUCAUUAAUGUUUGGCGGAAAUCAUAACUUGCUCGCUGAUGUAAUUUUAACAGACGUCGGUCAGUUGGUUAUGAAUUCUGAUAAAUGUUUGCUCUUCUAAAUGGUUAA
rnacentral:precursor_RNA from 15 species